AGUCGAGCGAACAGAUGAGAAGCUUGCUUCUCUGAUGUUAGCGGCGGAUGGGUGAGUAACACGUGGGUAACCUACCUAUAAGACUGGGAUAACUCCGGGAAACCGGGGCUAAUACCGGAUAAUAUUUUGAACCGCAUGGUUCAAUAGUGAAAGACGGUUUCGGCUGUCACUUAUAGAUGGACCCGCGCCGUAUUAGCUAGUUGGUAAGGUAACGGCUUACCAAGGCGACGAUACGUAGCCGACCUGAGAGGGUGAUCGGCCACACUGGAACUGAGACACGGUCCAGACUCCUACGGGAGGCAGCAGUAGGGAAUCUUCCGCAAUGGGCGAAAGCCUGACGGAGCAACGCCGCGUGAGUGAUGAAGGUCUUCGGAUCGUAAAACUCUGUUGUUAGGGAAGAACAAAUUUGUUAGUAACUGAACAAGUCUUGACGGUACCUAACCAGAAAGCCACGGCUAACUACGUGCCAGCAGCCGCGGUAAUACGUAGGUGGCAAGCGUUAUCCGGNAAUUAUUGGGCGUAAAGCGCGCGUAGGCGGUUUCUUAAGUCUGAUGUGAAAGCCCACGGCUCAACCGUGGAGGGUCAUUGGAAACUGGGAAACUUGAGUGCAGAAGAGGAGAGUGGAAUUCCAUGUGUAGCGGUGAAAUGCGCAGAGAUAUGGAGGAACACCAGUGGCGAAGGCGGCUCUCUGGUCUGUAACUGACGCUGAUGUGCGAAAGCGUGGGGAUCAAACAGGAUUAGAUACCCUGGUAGUCCACGCCGUAAACGAUGAGUGCUAAGUGUUAGGGGGUUUCCGCCCCUUAGUGCUGCAGCUAACGCAUUAAGCACUCCGCCUGGGGAGUACGACCGCAAGGUUGAAACUCAAAGGAAUUGACGGGGACCCGCACAAGCGGUGGAGCAUGUGGUUUAAUUCGAAGCAACGCGAAGAACCUUACCAAAUCUUGACAUCCUUUGACCGCUCUAGAGAUAGAGUCUUCCCCUUCGGGGGACAAAGUGACAGGUGGUGCAUGGUUGUCGUCAGCUCGUGUCGUGAGAUGUUGGGUUAAGUCCCGCAACGAGCGCAACCCUUAAGCUUAGUUGCCAUCAUUAAGUUGGGCACUCUAGGUUGACUGCCGGUGACAAACCGGAGGAAGGUGGGGAUGACGUCAAAUCAUCAUGCCCCUUAUGAUUUGGGCUACACACGUGCUACAAUGGAUAAUACAAAGGGCAGCGAAUCCGCGAGGCCAAGCAAAUCCCAUAAAAUUAUUCUCAGUUCGGAUUGUAGUCUGCAACUCGACUACAUGAAGCUGGAAUCGCUAGUAAUCGUAGAUCAGCAUGCUACGGUGAAUACGUUCCCGGGUCUUGUACACACCGCCCGUCACACCACGAGAGUUUGUAACACCCGAAGCCGGUGGAGUAAC
rnacentral:rRNA from 2 species